rnacentral:snRNA from 1 species
AUCGCUUCUCGGCCUUUUGGCUAAGAUCAAGUGUAGUAUCUGUUCUUAUCAGUUUAAUAACCUUGAGUUGUAGAGUCCGGAUUGAAAUGGGGCCCACAGAGCCCAGAGCCCUGAUCCCUUCCAUUCCUCAAGUCAAUUACAUUGGCUUAUAGUUUGGCUCUGUCAAUAUUGGAGAAGCAUUUCCAAAAUAUCCUGGAUUUCUGGUUCCAAUAUUUGCCCUGCUUAU